rnacentral:rRNA from 1 species
UACAGAGGUCCCAAGCGUUGUUCGGAAUUACUGGGCGUAAAGGGCUCGUAGGCGGCCAACUAAGUCGGACGUGAAAUCCCUCGGCUUAACCGGGGAACUGCGUCCGAUACUGGAUGGCUUGAGGUUGGGAGAGGGAUGCGGAAUUCCAGGUGUAGCGGUGAAAUUCGUAGAUAUUCGCAAGAACACCAGUGGCGAAGGCGGUUCUCUGGGCCUGUACUGACGCUGAGGAGCGAAAGCGUGGGGAGCAAACAGG